AAGGAAAUUGAUCUGCUUGUUCAG
rnacentral:piRNA from 1 species